rnacentral:rRNA from 1 species
UACGUAGGGUGCAAGCGUUGUCCGGAAUUAUUGGGCGUAAAGAGCUCGUAGGCGGUCUGUCGCGUCGGCUGUGAAAACUUGGGGCUCAACCCCAAGCCUGCAGUCGAUACGGGCAGGCUAGAGUGCGGUAGGGGAGACUGGAAUUCCUGGUGUAGCGGUGAAAUGCGCAGAUAUCAGGAGGAACACCGGUGGCGAAGGCGGGUCUCUGGGCCGUAACUGGACGCUGAGGAGCGAAAGCGUGGGGAGCGAACAGG